rnacentral:rRNA from 1 species
UACAGAGGUCUCAAGCGUUGUUCGGAUUCAUUGGGCGUAAAGGGCGCGUAGGCGGGGAGGUAAGUCGGGUGUGAAAUCCCUCGGCCCAACUGAGGAACUGCGCCCGAGACUGCUUCUCUUGAGUCCCGGAGAGGAAGAUGGAAUUCCCGGUGUAGCGGUGAAAUGUGUAGAGAUCGGGAGGAACACCGGUGGCGAAGGCGGUCUUCUGGACGGUGACUGACGCUGAGGCGCGAAAGCGUGGGGAGCAAACGGG